GCCGUGGCUGAGUAGAAAAGCUCGCGACUUUUAUACGUCAGGGCGUGGGUUCGAUGCCCACCAGGGACU